rnacentral:tRNA from 1 species
GGGGAUGUAGCUCAGUGGUAGAGUACUUNCCUGGCAUGCAGGAGGCCCUGAGCUCAAUCUCACACCCCCA